UACGUAGGGUGCGAGCGUUAAUCGGAAUUACUGGGCGUAAAGCGUGCGCAGGCGGUUAUAUAAGACAGAUGUGAAAUCCCCGGGCUCAACCUGGGAACUGCAUUUGUGACUGUAUAGCUAGAGUACGGCAGAGGGGGAUGGAAUUCCGCGUGUAGCAGUGAAAUGCGUAGAUAUGCGGAGGAACACCGAUGGCGAAGGCAAUCCCCUGGGCCUGUACUGACGCUCAUGCACGAAAGCGUGGGGAGCAAACAGGAUUAGAUACCCUGGUAGUCCACGCCCUAAACGAUGUCAACUGGUUGUUGGGUCUUCACUGACUCAGUAACGAAGCUAACGCGUGAAGUUGACCGCCUGGGGAGUACGGCCGCAAGGUUG
rnacentral:rRNA from 1 species